AUUGAACGCUGGCGGCAGGCCUAACACAUGCAAGUCGAACGGUAACAGGAAGCAGCUUGCUGCUUUGCUGACGAGUGGCGGACGGGUGAGUAAUGUCUGGGAAACUGCCUGAUGGAGGGGGAUAACUACUGGAAACGGUAGCUAAUACCGCAUAACGUCGCAAGACCAAAGAGGGGGACCUUCGGGCCUCUUGCCAUCGGAUGUGCCCAGAUGGGAUUAGCUAGUAGGUGGGGUAACGGCUCACCUAGGCGACGAUCCCUAGCUGGUCUGAGAGGAUGACCAGCCACACUGGAACUGAGACACGGUCCAGACUCCUACGGGAGGCAGCAGUGGGGAAUAUUUCACAAUGGGCGCAAGCCUGAUGCAGCCAUGCCGCGUGUAUGAAGAAGGCCUUCGGGUUGUAAAGUACUUUCAGCGGGGAGGAAGGGAGUAGAGUUAAUACCUUUGCUCAUUGACGUUACCCGCAGAAGAAGCACCGGCUAACUCCGUG
rnacentral:rRNA from 1 species